GGCUGUGGUUCAGUGGUACAGCACCUGCUUAAUAUGUGCAAGAUCCCAGGUUCAAUCCCUGGAAUAUCCA
rnacentral:tRNA from 1 species